rnacentral:rRNA from 1 species
GCAAGUCGAACGAUGAAGGUGGGAGCUUGCUCUACUGGUUUAGUGGCGAACGGGUGAGUAACACGUGAGCAAUCUGCCCCUGACUCUGGGAUAAGCGUUGGAAACGACGUCUAAUACCGGAUACGUGCUGGGAACGCAUGGUCACCAGCUGGAAAGAACUUUGGUCAGGGAUGAGCUCGCGGCCUAUCAGCUAGUUGGUGGGGUAAUGGCCCACCAAGGCGACGACGGGUAGCCGGCCUGAGAGGGUGACC